rnacentral:rRNA from 1 species
CCUACGGGGGGCAGCAGUAGGGAAUCUUCCACAAUGGGCGAAAGCCUGAUGGAGCAACGCCGCGUGGGUGAAGAAGGUCUUCGGAUCGUAAAACCCUGUUGUUAGAGAAGAAAGUGCGUGAGAGUAACUGUUCACGUUUCGACGGUAUCUAACCAGAAAGCCACGGCUAACUACGUGCCAGCAGCCGCGGUAAUACGUAGGUGGCAAGCGUUAUCCGGAUUUAUUGGGCGUAAAGGGAACGCAGGCGGUCUUUUAAGUCUGAUGUGAAAGGCUUCGGCUUAACCGGAGUAGUGCAUUGGAAACUGGGAGACUUGAGUGCAGAAGAGGAGAGUGGAACUCGAGGUGUAGCGGUGAAAUGCGUAGAUAUAAGGAAGAACACCAGUGGCGAAGGCGGCUCUCUGGUCUGUAACUGACGCUGAGGUUCGAAAGCGUGGGUAGCAAACAGGAUUAGAUACCCGUGUAGUC